UAUUUAUAAUAUACAUAAGUAUAUUUGGUAUUUUUAAAUAUUCGGCUAUCUGAUAUAUUCGAAGAACCGAUGUGAUAACAUUACGAACAUAUGAGAUAACCCGAGUGACGAUUUAAUUGGUUAAUUAAUUUACGAUAUUGAUUGUGUCUGAUAUGAAGUUGUAUUUGCGAUUUUUGUUUAUGUUGGUUCUAUUAUACGAUUUUAAUUUUCCCGCGCUGACUGUGAGAAUGACGUAAUGUCAUGCUACAAGUGCAGUUAAUAUUUGUCGUUUUAUUCCAACAAUAAAGGCUCUCGGUAUUUAGUACAAAAUAAAAACUGUCAACAAUACGAUCGCUAAGCGUAUGAAAUGUGUCAACGCUGCAAUGAGUGCAUUAUUGAAAGAAAAUAAUAAAUAUAGUAAAUGGAGCAUCGCCAUUGAAACAAAAUUACCUUUUUCGGCCCGUAAAGAGGCUACACUAUCGAAAUAAUUUAUAUGAGAAAAGUUCAAUUCUCUCAAUGAGAAUAUAAUAAGAAAAUCAAUCAGAAAUUCUAUGGAGACUUACCCCAAUUCAUGUACAAUUACAAUUCGCAUAGGCGUCACGAAAUAUCAAAGGCUGAUUUUGUAAAAAAAUAUUAACUUCGUUACUCCUUCGUCAACAAUGUCUUUAAAUAGAAAUAUCUUGCAUAGAAAAAUGUAUAUCAUCCGAUGAAACGUUCAAUAGAAUUCGCUGAGUGAUAUCUGCUCUAGAGUGCUCACAUAUCAGUAAUCUAUAGGCACCAAGUCUUGCACAAAUUCCCAGCGAUUCUGUUAUACUAGGUGUUUUAACCCCUGAUAAAAAAAUAAAAAAAUUUACUUAUUA